rnacentral:rRNA from 1 species
UGGGGAAUUUUGGACAAUGGGCGAAAGCCUGAUCCAGCAAUGCCGCGUGUGUGAAGAAGGCCUUCGGGUUGUAAAGCACUUUUGUCCGGAAAGAAAUGGCUCUGGUUAAUACCUGGGGUCGAUGACGGUACCGGAAGAAUAAGGACCGGCUAACUACGUGCCAGCAGCCGCGGUAAUACGUAGGGUCCAAGCGUUAAUCGGAAUUACUGGGCGUAAAGCGUGCGCAGGCGGUUGUGCAAGACCGAUGUGAAAUCCCCGAGCUUAACUUGGGAAUUGCAUUGGUGACUGCACGGCUAGAGUGUGGCAGAGGGGGGUAGAAUUCCACGUGUAGCAGUGAAAUGCGUAGAGAUGUGGAGGAAUACCGAUGGCGAAGGCAGCCCCCUGGGAUAACACUGACGCUCAUGCACGAAAGCGUGGGGAGCAAACAGG